AAUGUUUUUUUUUUAGCCAUUUUGGUUCCGGACUCCGCUACCGUCAACCACAUCCCUUUCGUGGUAAUAUAACUUUUACGGUACUGCUGAUUCAACGAAACAAUACCAGAAGAAAUCUUAGCUGGAAUUCUGUCUAGACUGCCUGUAUGGCAAAGAGUUGAGAUAUGGAUGUAGCUGUAUACAAGAGAGAUGAAAAAAUACUCAUGCCAACUCUGGUUCCUAAUCCCGAUGAAGCAGUAGUUGAAUUGUAUGCACUGAUUCAAAGAGCUGACAUUUAUGCUGAGGCUCUAAUCUCGCCCUGUCGCUAUGGAGGGAGAGGUUAAUUCGUGUUUCUUUCUUCUUCUGUUUGUCUUAUUGAGUACAGUUAUUUAGUGUUGUCAAUAUUUCUAGCAAAUUAUAAAUGUUACUAUUUGUUUUGAAAUAUCAAAAUGCUACGGGUUACAUCGAGUAUAUACUGCAAGUAAUUCAAGAUUCAAUAGUGUAAUUUGUCUACUUACAUUGAAUUGUACAUCUCUAUACUCUCUCCUAGUCUGCUUCCUUUCCCUAAUUACUUAUAUUAGCUUUAUGAAGCUUCUUUUUAUGUCAA